rnacentral:rRNA from 1 species
ACACAUGCAAGUCGGGGGGCAGCAUCCUUUUAGCUUGCUAAGGCCGAUGGCGACCGGCGCACGGGUGAGUAACACGUAUCCAACCUGCCGUCUACUCUUGGACAGCCUUCUGAAAGGAAGAUUAAUACAAGAUGGCAUCAUGAGUCCGCAUGUUCACAUGAUUAAAGGUAUUCCGGUAGACGAUGGGGAUGCGUUCCAUUAGAUAGUAGGCGGGGUAACGGCCCACCUAGUCUUCGAUGGAUAGGGGUUCUGAGAGGAAGGUCCCCCACAUUGGAACUGAGACACGGUCCAAACUCCUACGGGAGGCAGCAGUGAGGAAUAUUGGUCAAUGGGCGCAGGCCUGAACCAGCCAAGUAGCGUGAAGGAUGACUGCCCUAUGGGUUGUAAACUUCUUUUAUAAAGGAAUAAAGUCGGGUAUGGAUACCCGUUUGCAUGUACUUUAUGAAUAAGGAUCGGCUAACUCCGUGCCAGCAGCCGCGGUAAUACGGAGGAUCCGAGCGUUAUCCGGAUUUAUUGGGUUUAAAGGGAGCGUAGAUGGAUGUUUAAGUCAGUUGUGAAAGUUUGCGGCUCAACCGUAAAAUUGCAGUUGAUACUGGAUAUCUUGAGUGCAGUUGAGGCAGGCGGAAUUCGUGGUGUAGCGGUGAAAUGCUUAGAUAUCACGAAGAACUCCGAUUGCGAAGGCAGCCUGCUAAGCUGCAACUGACAUUGAGGCUCGAAAGUGUGGGUAUCAAACAGGAUUAGAUACCCUGGUAGUCCACACGGUAAACGAUGAAUACUCGCUGUUUGCGAUAUACUGCAAGCGGCCAAGCGAAAGCGUUAAGUAUUCCACCUGGGGAGUACGCCGGCAACGGUGAAACUCAAAGGAAUUGACGGGGGCCCGCACAAGCGGAGGAACAUGUGGUUUAAUUCGAUGAUACGCGAGGAACCUUACCCGGGCUUAAAUUGCAGAUGAAUUACGGUGAAAGCCGUAAGCCGCAAGGCAUCUGUGAAGGUGCUGCAUGGUUGUCGUCAGCUCGUGCCGUGAGGUGUCGGCUUAAGUGCCAUAACGAGCGCAACCCUUGUUGUCAGUUACUAACAGGUUCCGCUGAGGACUCUGACAAGACUGCCAUCGUAAGAUGUGAGGAAGGUGGGGAUGACGUCAAAUCAGCACGGCCCUUACGUCCGGGGCUACACACGUGUUACAAUGGGGGGUACAGAGGGCCGCUACCACGCGAGUGGAUGCCAAUCCCCAAAACCUCUCUCAGUUCGGACUGGAGUCUGCAACCCGACUCCACGAAGCUGGAUUCGCUAGUAAUCGCGCAUCAGCCACGGCGCGGUGAAUACGUUCCCGGGCCUUAUACACACCGCCCGUCAAGCCAUGGGAGCCGGGGGUACCUGAAGUGCGUAACCGCGAGGAGCGCCCUAGGGUAAAACUGGUGACUGGGGCUAAGA